UUCCUCUCAGGGUCACAACUAGAGAGUUUCCAGUACUCUACCAAUUUCGGCUAUGGGAGGGAGAGUCGAGCAGAGGUGUACCCAUUUCACUCCUAGCUUGGCAGUGGCUAGCGAGUGGAAGGCAAUCUGCUACAAGU